rnacentral:rRNA from 1 species
AAAUUGAAGAGUUUGAUCAUGGCUCAGAUUGAACGCUGGCGGCAGGCCUAACACAUGCAAGUCGAACGGUAACAGGAAGCAGCUUGCUGCUUUGCUGACGAGUGGCGGACGGGUGAGUAAUGUCUGGGAAACUGCCUGAUGGAGGGGGAUAACUAUUGGAAACGGUGGCUAAUACCGCAUAACGUCGCAAGACCAAAGAGGGGGACCUUCGGGCCUCUUGCCAUCAGAUGUGCCCAGAUGGGAUUAGCUAGUUGGUGAGGUAACGGCUCACCAAGGCGACGAUCCCUAGCUGGUCUGAGAGGAUGACCAGCCACACUGGAACUGAGACACGGUCCAGACUCCUACGGGAGGCAGCAGUGGGGAAUAUUGCACAAUGGGCGCAAGCCUGAUGCAGCCAUGCCGCGUGUAUGAAGAAGGCCUUCGGGUUGUAAAGUACUUUCAGCGGGGAGGAAGGUGUUGUGGUUAAUAACCGCAGC